rnacentral:rRNA from 1 species
AAAAACAUAACCUUUAGCCUAAUAAAUAUUAAAGGCAACGCCUGCCCAGUGAACAAUUAAACGGCCGCGGUAUCCUAACCGUGCAAAGGUAGCAUAAUCAUUUGUCUACUAAUUAUAGACCUGUAUGAAAGGCAAAAUGAGGGUCAAACUGUCUCUUAUAAUAAAUCAAUUAAACUGAUCUCCUAGUAAAAAAGCUAGAAUAACAACAUAAGACCAGAAGACCCUGUGAAGCUUAAAUUAAACUAUUAAAUCUUAUAAUAACUAUUUUUGGUUGGGGCGACCUUGGAAACAAAAAGAACUUCCAAGACCCAGUAUAACUGAUAAUUGAACCAAGUUACUCCAGGGAUAACAGCGCAAUCUUCUUCAAGAGCCCAUAUCAAAAAGAAGGUUUACGACCUCGAUGUUGGAUCAGGACAUCCUAAUGGUGCAGCCGCUAUUAAGGGUUCGUUUGUUCAACGAUUAAUAGUCCUACGUGAUCUGG